AUUGAACGCUGGCGGAAUGCUUUACACAUGCAAGUCGAACGGCAGCACGGGUGCUUGCACCUGGUGGCGAGUGGCGAACGGGUGAGUAAUACAUCGGAACGUACCCAGUUGUGGGGGAUAACUAACCGAAAGGUUAGCUAAUACCGCAUACGACCUGAGGGUGAAAGCGGGGGACCGUAAGGCCUCGCGCAAUUGGAGCGGCCGAUGUCUGAUUAGCUAGUUGGUGAGGUAAAGGCUCACCAAGGCGACGAUCAGUAGCUGGUCUGAGAGGAUGAUCAGCCACACUGGAACUGAGACACGGUCCAGACUCCUACGGGAGGCAGCAGUGGGGAAUUUUGGACAAUGGGGGAAACCCUGAUCCAGCCAUUCCGCGUGAGUGAAGAAGGCCUUCGGGUUGUAAACUGCUUUUGUACGGAACGAAAAGACUCUUUCUAAUAAAGAGGGUCCAUGACGGUACCGUAAGAAUAAGCACCGGCUAACUACGUGCCAGCAGCCGCCGUAACAC
rnacentral:rRNA from 1 species